CAUAUUCACCCGCCCGCCCGCCCGCCCGCCGCCGCCUCCUCCCCCUUCCAUCUUCGCCGAAACCCUAACCCUAGUCGCCGCGGCCGCGCUUCCCCCGGCGACGCCGCCAUGUCGAACCCGAAGGGCUCCAAGAUGCUCCAGUUCAUCAACUACCGCAUGCGGGUGACGAUCCAGGACGGGCGCCAGCUCGUGGGCAAGUUCAUGGCGUUCGACCGCCACAUGAACCUCGUCCUCGGCGACUGCGAGGAGUUCCGCCGCCUCCCGCCCUCCAAGUCCUCCAAGACCACGGGCGACCGCGAGGAGCGCCGCACGCUCGGCCUCCUCCUCCUCCGCGGCGAGGAGGUCGUCUCCAUGACCGUCGAGGGCCCGCCGCCGCCCGACGAGUCGCGCGCCAAGGCCGCCGCGGCGGGCGGGGCCCUCGCCGGCCCUGGCGUCGGCCGCGCCGCGGGACGCGGUGUGCCCACCGGCCCGCUGCUCCAGGCAGCUCCUGGGCUCGCUGGCCCUGUGCGCGGCGUGGGCGGACCCGCCCCCGGCAUGAUGCAGCCCCAGAUCUCGCGGCCGCCGAUGCCCAACCUGUCGGCCCAGCCGGUGUCGUACCCGCAGGUCGUGCGCCCGCCGCAGGGAAUGCCUCCGCCAAUGCGUCCUGGAAUGCAGCCGCAGAUGCCGAUGCCGUUCCGCCCGCCUGGUGUGCCGCCUGCUCCGUUCCCUGGUGCACCACAACAGUUUAUGAGGGGUCCGCCCCCGAUGGGGCCGCCACAGGUGAGGCCCGGGAUGCCGGGGCCACCACCUCCUGGAAUGAGGCCUGGGAUGGCUCCGCCGCCCUUUGGACAGCCGAGGCCAGGGAUGCAGCCCCCGCCACCUGGUCCACAGCAGCCUGGACAGAACCCGCCGCAGUAGCUUCUUCUUACCCGAGAAGGCACAGGGUAGCAGCAGGGUAGUGGUUGCAUGCACUCCAGGCCUCCAGCAUUUCCUGGGAUAAGCUUCUUUCAGAUACACUUAUGGAAGAUUUUUGUAUCGCGAGAAAGGAUCAAUCGCACCUCUGGAAGGCUUGUGAAUUGCACCAAUGCUUCACCAUUCUGUCUUAUAUAUCAGGGUACUAGUAGUUUCCUUUGGGUAUUGUGAGAGAAGUGUGUACCACUCAUCCUUUGAUGUGAGAGGGGACUUUUGUACGUAAAGAGGCGAGGGCUUAUUUUUAACUGUUGGUGUUGGUUAAGUUAGGAAAUAUGGAUAACUUGUAUCAUCUUUGUCUGAAGUCUGGACCCUUACCAGAUGUGUGUGCACUGCAGUCCUGUUAUUCGGUGUUCAUUCGUGCUUCUUAAGCCCUUGUUUAUCUCAAAGUAAAAGUACUUUAUGUGUUUGGUGACGAACUGAGAUAAUUGACUUAGAGAAAAGUUUAUAUACAUAUAAGUA